rnacentral:rRNA from 1 species
UUGAUCCUGGCUCAGAACGAACGCUGGCGGCGCGUUUAAGCAUGCAAGUCGAGCGGUAAGCAUCCUUCGGGAUGCCUAGAGCGGCGAACGGGUGAGUAACACGUAGGUAAUCUGCCGUGCGAUUGGGGAUAGCCUGUGGAAACACAGGGUAAUACCGAAUACGACCUUCGGGGGAAAGGCGCUUCGGCGCCGUCGUACGAUGAGCCUGCGGCGCAUUAGUUAGUUGGCGGGGUAAAAGCCCACCAAGGCGACGAUGCGUAGCCGACCUGAGAGGGUGAUCGGCCACACUGGGACUGAGAUACGGCCCAGACUCCUACGGGAGGCAGCAGCUAAGAAUCUUCCGCAAUGGACGAAAGUCUGACGGAGCGACGCCGCGUGGGCGAGGAAGGCCGAAAGGUUGUAAAGCCCUUUUCUGCGUGAGGAAUAAGCAUCGGAGGCAAUGCCGGUGUGAUGACGGUAGCGCAGGAAUAAGCCCCGGCCAAUUACGUGCCAGCAGCCGCGGUAACACGUAUGGGGCGAGCGUUGUUCGGAAUUAUUGGGCGUAAAGGGCGCGCAGGCGGUCAUGCAAGCUUGGUGUGAAAGACCACGGCUCAACGGUGGAAACGCGCUGAGAACUGUAUGACUUGAGUUUCGGAGGGGGAACUGGAAUUCCAGGUGUAGGGGUGAAAUCUGUAGAUAUCUGGAAGAACAUCAGUGGCGAAGGCGAGUUCCUGGCCGACAACUGACGCUGAGGCGCGAAAGCGUGGGGAGCGAACAGGAUUAGAUACCCUGGUAGUCCACGCCGUAAACGAUGUGCACUAGGUGUUGGGCUUUCGAAGGCUCAGUGCCGCAAGUUAACCACGUUAAGUGCACCGCCUGGGGAGUAUGCCCGCAAGGGGUGAAACUCCAAGGAAUUGACGGGGGCCCGCACAAGCGGUGGAGCAUGUGGUUUAAUUCGAUGAUACGCGAGGAACCUUAC